rnacentral:rRNA from 1 species
AACGAACGCUGGCGGCAGGCUUAACACAUGCAAGUCGAACGGGUGUAGCAAUACAUCAGUGGCAGACGGGUGAGUAACACGUGGGAACCUUCCUAGAGGUACGGAACAACUCAGGGAAACUUGAGCUAAUACCGUAUAACGCUCUUGCGAGGAAAGAUUUAUCGCCUUUAGACGGGCCCGCGUCGGAUUAGCUAGUUGGUGGGGUAACGGCCUUACCAAGGCGACGAUCCGUAGCUGAUCUGAGAGGAUGAUCAGCCACACUGGGACUGAGACACGGCCCAGACU